rnacentral:rRNA from 1 species
GUGGGGAAUAUUGGACAAUGGGCGAAAGCCUGAUCCAGCCAUGCCGCGUGUGUGAAGAAGGUCUUCGGAUUGUAAAGCACUUUAAGUUGGGAGGAAGGGCAGUAAGUUAAUACCUUGCUGUUUUGACGUUACCGACAGAAUAAGCACCGGCUAACUUCGUGCCAGCAGCCGCGGUAAUACGAAGGGUGCAAGCGUUAAUCGGAAUUACUGGGCGUAAAGCGCGCGUAGGUGGUUUUGUAAGUUGGAGGUGAAAUCCCCGGGCUCAACCUGGGAACUGCCUCCAAAACUGCAUGACUAGAGUACGGUAGAGGGUAGUGGAAUUUCCUGUAUAGCGGUGAAAUGCGUAGAUAUAGGAAGGAACACCAGUGGCGAAGGCGACUACCUGGACUGAUACUGACACUGAGGUGCGAAAGCGUGGGGAGCAAACAGGAUUAGAUACCCGGGUAGUCC